rnacentral:rRNA from 1 species
UACGUAGGUGGCAAGCGUUAUCCGGAUUUAUUGGGUGUAAAGGGCGUGUAGGCGGGAGCGCAAGUCAGAUGUGAAAACUCAGGGCUCAACCCUGAGCCUGCGUUUGAAACUGUGUUUCUUGAGUGCUGGAGAGGCAAUCGGAAUUCCGUGUGUAGCGGUGAAAUGCGUAGAUAUACGGAGGAACACCAGUGGCGAAGGCGGAUUGCUGGACAGUAACUGACGCUGAGGCGCGAAAGCGUGGGGAGCAAACAGG